AACAAUGAAAGCCAAUUUAAUCAAUCUACCACAGCCAAGCCAUACAACUACAGCUGAAACUCAGUAUCUUGGGAAACAAAUGUCAUCUCUGUAUUACCCACCAUUAUAUUCCCAUGUGAACAAUAAAUAUUUAUUGAAUGAACAAAUUCACUAAUGUGACAGACCAAGGGAGAAUAGCCUCAGUGUAUAUGUACUGAAUGCACUGAUGUGGUUCCGGGCAUCAAGCUAGGCCUCUGGGACAGAACUGUAAACAAAACAAGCCCCUUUCCACCCCAUCACAAGUAGCUAAAAUCACUUUCAAAUAAUGCCCUAUUCGCAAAGCAGGCAGAUCUCAAAUGCUUUCUCUAGGAUUGCAGGCAGGAUCAUCCCAAGCCAAUCUUAUUAUGCCCUCACACUUUAAAUCAAGGGUGAGGAGGAAGUGAGAAGUUUCAAAAGUGCAAAAGGCAGCCUGGGAAAGGAAAGGGUAAAUUACCUGGUGGUCUUGAGGCUGCAAAUCAUAGAAACCAACUCUGGAUAAGUCCCAUAGCAAAGGAAUGUAUUAGGAAGUAGUGGCAACAGAAAUGAUAGGAAGGCUGGAGAACCAUGCUUGGACAAAGACUGGGUAGGGCCAGAGUCUGCUCAGCAAUUACUGUUCAAUAGUCUUGUAAAGGCAAUGCAGCUUAAGAAAAAGACUGUAUUUUUCCUGUCCUUGCAGCACUCUGCCCAAGACCCAAAGUCCAGAGACAGAGACUCCAAUUAGCCUGGUUUGGGUUACAUGACUACUCCCUUAGCUAGGGGUCUGAUGGACCCAGAGUCGGUGGUCAGGAACAUCUAACCCUAGUACACCACCUGACAACCCGGAACUAAGUAUUAUCUGAUCAAUCUGACCAUAAAAUCAGCUCUGCCCCAGUAGUACUCUUUCAAAUACCAAGUGGAUGUAAGUAGUUCCCAAAGUCACAUGGAAAUUGCUUGACUAGGGAGCCAACCUUGAAGCAGUUCCCAUGUGAGAAAUAUCCAAGGUGUUGAUUGGAGAGGCUUGGAUCACAUGCUCACUCCAUGGAGCCAGAAGUGGAGCCCCACCCGGAGCCCACAGACUGGCAUUUCUUCAGAUAGAAUCAGGGCUCUUUAACUAAAAAAAGAGGAAACAAACCUGAGAGAAGAGAAUACUAAAAAGCAACACAAAUAUCCACCACAUUUACACCUUUUGCUGUCCAGUCUCCAAAUACAAUUUUUCCCCAAGUGAAGAUAGUCCAAACCUCAUCAUAUUACUACAUUCAGUGCCAAAUCCAAGAUGUACAAUUUUCUUGGUCAGAUUUAGAUGGUCCAGCAUCCAUGACUAAAUGAUGAUCAAAUUAACCAAUAUCAUUAUUGGAGAGAAAACAAGUAACUACAGUAAAGAGCCCCCAUUUGGUAAGGGAGAGAAAAAUAUAUCUCAUCCCACCACCAUUGUCAAUAUAUCCUGUGAAACAGCAAUAGCCAAGACUGUUCCAUGGAAGAGAAGCGAGUGUCCUGGUCAGCCCACUGGUAGCCGCUAAUUCUGCCCUCUAGAAGGAUCUCCUUUGAUCACUGAUCAUAGGACAUUGUUGUCAAAGUUGAGGUCUACCUGAGAAGACAACUUCCUUUAAACUCUAGGAGAAGCUUCUGGUCAAUUCCAGAAGCUAGAAACUAAAGGUCAGUAACUUGACUAGUCUAUGUCCUGAAUCUAAACAUUUACUGAGGAUUCUGGUUCCUGGGCAGUUGCUUCAGUGUUCUGAUCAUCUCCCUAGCCUCCACCUAAAGCAAUUAUAAACUGGGAAGUGGGAUGGAGAGACUUACCAUUAUGACCUUUGACUCCAAACUGUAGCCCAACCUCAUUUUUAUGGUAAAUGUCAUUAUCACCUCUGACAAUCAGACACCUCAUAACAAGAAGUGCAUGCAAGGAUCCUCGAGAGUCAGCUUCUCAUUUCCUUCUGUAGUUCCUAUCUUCAUCCUAUUGAUUAUACUAACUUUAUCAUUAGGCAGAGAACUUGGCUUUUCCAACUAUCCAAGGCUCCGGAGCACCAGGCUUUACACCACUUCAUUUUGUGGCUGCAAUCAGUGUCUAUAAAAAGGGUUUCCACCCCCAACUUUUCCUGUUUUUAAAAUGGGUUUUAGCUUAAGUGUAAAUUUAUUCUAGUAUACUACUAAAUUGUAGCCAAAAGAUGUCAAUACUUUCACAUUUUCCUUCUGUGCUUCUGAAAGAUUCAAAUGGUCUGAGUCCCAAGUUACUACAGGCUACAGCUUGACAAGCUUUCCCCCUAUUGCUUAAUAAUGGUGCCAACUUCCUAGCCCUGGAUAGCAUCUUUUCUGCCCUCCAUCCUCCCUUGCCUACAUAAUUUGACAUGUUAAGCUCUGUGACUUGUAGCACCCAAUUUCUAUAUCACUUAGGAUUCCCUGGCUGCAAGCACUGAAACUCUUUCCAAUCUACACAGAAAAAUGAAUUCUUUGGAAAUAUAUGAGUAGCUCACAGAAGGACUGGAAAGCUACAUUUGCAAAAAGAAGAUUCAGAUAAAGCUGCAGAGGUAACAGAAACUAUUUGGUAUUUUUAAAAGGAUACCACCAGUGGUAGAAAUGAGCUCCAAUUUUUCCUAUUCAUAUAUAAAUCUAUGCAAUGUAUAACAAUAGUGAGUUUCAUUAGCCUUGCUUGGGUCUUCAACCAACCCCUUAGGUUAGGGGAGAACUAGGCAUCUAAUUGUACUGGUCUACUAAAACUGCCUACCAUGGGGAAGAAGAAAUUCUCAAAAGAAAUCAGGAUGCUAGUUCCACAAAAAGACAAAAUGAAUGCUGGGUGGAACAAAAUAAAAUAGCUACUUAGGAGAAAGGGAAGUUAUGCCAUUUCCUUAGGACUUCUUCAGAACCCACUAUUGAGGUUAUUUCCUGUUCCCUUCAACACCUACACUCUUGGAUUGUAGACACACUGCCAGUUUGAUGGUUAGAUCCAAAGGGCUAAUUUACACUAACUGUUUUCUAUCUAAGAAGAUAUGGCAUAUAAUAGUCCUACUGUGGGUGGGGGGGAAAAAAGGAAAAUACUUCAC
rnacentral:lncRNA from 1 species